CAACAACGGUCAAUGUGGAUAAGUAACUGCCAUGCUAUUAAAUAUUAACACCAUGGAGUCCAAGAUGCACACUGUCCCAAGAAGAGUAUUGACCCACUGCCAAAUUUCAUAAAUACAUAAUCCUUGAGAACUUUCCCUGAUCAGAAAGCCCUUCAUGACUGGGGUGAGAAUCAAGGAAAGCAGGUCUCCUUUAUUCCUUCAGGUGGAACUGUUUAAUAGGUCUUCUCUGAGACAUGUUAAAUCCAUAAAGAAGUGCAGAACUCCACCUGUACAAGCUACAGAAGAAGAGAAACUCUUUGAAGAUGCCAGACUAAGACAACUGUCCAGCAAAACAAAUGGGAAUUCAAAUCACACCCACAAGACAAAUAUGGUUUCUCAAGGUUUCCAGGUUUUGUGUGCAGUUCAAACUGGAAGUUAUCUUUUAAUGGCUCUAUGAUACCCAGCUAUCUGAUGUUGUCUUUGUGGGUGGCUUACCUUCGAAUUAACAGAAAACAUUAAAUUGCUAUCAUCUGCUAAUAAAUGAA